rnacentral:misc_RNA from 1 species
GAAAUGCGAUAAGUAUUGUGAAUUGCAGAAUUCAGUGAAUCAUCGAAUCUUUGAACGCACAUUGCGCCCCUUGGUAUUCCGGGGGGCAUGCCUGUUCGAGCGUCAUUUAAAGAACCUCAAGCACAGCUUGGCAUUGGGCCUCGUCCCCGCUGUGGACGGGCCCCAAAGACCUCGGCGGCGGCUCGGAGCCUCAAGCGUAGUAGAAAUAUUCCCGCUUUGGAGGUCCCCGUGUCCGCUCGCUCCUAAAACACCACACCUCAAAAGGUUGACCUCGGAUCAGGUAGGGAUACCCGCUGAACUUAA